rnacentral:rRNA from 1 species
UACAGAGGGGGCGAGCGUUGUUCGAAUUACUGGGCGUAAAGGGCGCGUAGGCGGCCCGCUAAGUCGAACGUGAAAUCCCCAGGCUCAACCUGGGAACUGCGUCCGAUACUGGCAGGCUUGAAUCCGGGAGAGGGAUGUGGAAUUCCAGGUGUAGCGGUGAAAUGCGUAGAUAUCUGGAGGAACACCGGUGGCGAAGGCGGCAUCCUGGACCGGUAUUGACGCUGAGGCGCGAAAGCUAGGGGAGCAAACGGG